GCAGCUUCCCCUUUAGCUCUGCCUCCCAGCCCUGCAUCCUGGGGACCAGGCCAGCGAGCUUGGUGAGGGGGUGCGGGGCUGGAGAGAGAUGUUGGCUGCAGCGUGUGGCUUGUUGAGAUCCUUGUGUUCAUGAGUCAGUUCGGCUAAGUUUAGUGCUGGCUUCUGCCGCAGAACAGAUGGACAGUGAGAGCAAAGAUAUUCUGCUUGACUCUAGCCUGGCACGACCCCAUCCAAGUGGUCAGCCAGCUCUGAGCUGACACAGACACAGGCGUGGAGCUGUGCUUCUGGGUCCUGGCAAUGGCAGGCAGAGGACAGGAAUCCAUGACUGCCCCUCAUUCCUUCUCCGCUCAUUCAUUCAGACGCUUUCAGCGAGCACCUGUUAUACAAAGGCAACAGUGAUGGAGGCCAACUGCAGAUGACGUAAGCCGUUCAGUGGCUCUCGAUGCCAUGUGC
rnacentral:lncRNA from 1 species